rnacentral:tRNA from 1 species
GCCCAGGUGGCGGAAUGGGUAGACGCACUGGAUUUAGGUUCCAGCGCCGCAAGGCGUGGAGGUUCGAGUCCUCUCCUGGGCACCA